rnacentral:rRNA from 1 species
GAACGCUGGCGGCGUGCCUAACACAUGCAAGUCGAACGAAGCGUCCGCCCCGAAGAAGAGGAGUGCUUUGCACAAAUUUGAUUCAAUUGGGAUGACUUAGUGGCGGACGGGUGAGUAACGCGUGGGGUAACCUGCCUUAUACAGGGGGAUAACAGUUAGAAAUGACUGCUAAUACCGCAUAAGCGCACAGUAUCGCAUGAUACAGUGUGAAAAGCCGAGACGGUAUAAGAUGGACCCGCGUCUGAUUAGCCAGUUGGCAGGGUAACGGCCUACCAAAGCGACGAUCAGUAGCCGGCCUGAGAGGGUGAACGGCCACAUUGGGACUGAGACACGGCCCAAACUCCUACGGGAGGCAGCAGUGGGGAUAUUGCACAAUGGGGAAACCCUGAUGCAGCGACGCCGCGUGAGUGAUGAAGUAUUCGGUAUGUAAACUCUAUCAGCAGGGAAGAAAUGACGGUACCUGACUAAGAAGCUCCGGCUAAUACGUGCC